ensembl:lncRNA
GUGCUGAUUACUUCCUUGGGGAGAUGAGGCUCGCCAGCCUUACAGCAGUUAUUUCCUCAGGAUGUUUACGUCAGCUCCCCGAGCCUGGGGUUUGUUUUCUUCAAAGGGAAGGUUUGACGGAGGGGCCUGGGGUGGGAGCGCUGAGUCCUCCUAGAGAGCCACCCCCUAGAGCUCCCAUACAGAAUUUUUUGACCUGGUUUAUGGACUCAAGUCCAACUAAUUCGAGAAUGAGGAGGGAGUGCCCUUGGGGAUUCCUGCCCGGAUGGAGGGCUCCGAGUGAAGGAUCCUGCUUUACUCCUGCAGAGGGGGCGCAGCCUGGGCCCCCACUCAGGGCCUGUGGACACCAAGGCAGGAGGGAGAAGGCUCCCCAGGCCUCAGCGUUUGCAUCUUGCCGACACAACAGGCCACUUUCUGGCCUCUCAGCUCUGUGUCUAGGAAUUUAGUAGCCUCCCGAUCGGGCCAACUGAGGGGUUUUUCCCAAACAACACGCUGGAGAUGGUGGAGGCAGAGCUGUGCCUGCAGGUGACUGCAGACGUUCAGUGAAUCACACGUCUUAGCCACAUGAAGGAUCAGCUACAGCUCUGAGCCGAGGAGUGCACAGGAAGCUGCCUGCCCUGAGGGGCCCAAGUGCCCUGCGGCUCAGGUCGCCCUCCACAGACCAGAAGGCCUCAGCAAACCUGCAGAGAUCAGCGUGGUCUUCUGAAGACAUCCGUGGAGUCGAAGGCCCUCCUGCGAGGCCAGGAGGGUGAUGAUUAUGGUGAAGAGAGGUAUGAUGUUGGAUGGAUCUGGGUGCCAGUCCCGGCGCUGUGAAAAAGGCUGGUCUCCAGCUCCCCACGGCCCUCGGGGUGGUUUAGCAGAUGGAUGCUGAUGGUGAAAGGGAACUCGUUGUAGGUUGAACCCCUAUCUAGGAAGCUGGCGAAAACCAUAGAAGGUUAGACUCUCAAGAUGGUGGAGAGCGUGUGGCCACCUGACAGCGAGCACACAGAAGGCCAGCAACAGGGUGCGGCCGACCAGACACCAAGUGCUGGUCCUCAGCGGAGCCGGGCUGGGGGCCGGGGCUCUGACCUGCAUGAAGAGCUCUGCUCUUGCACAGUGUGAGGAGACCUGGGACUGCCUAGUGAGCCCCUCCCUGUUCCACAGGGUAAGCACAGGGCAGUCCCACUGUCAGAGUUGCCAGGUCAAACCGGGGAGGACCCCUACACCUGCUCCCAAAUCUGGGCAGAGCAUGAGGAAGGACAGCGAGCCCCGCUCGCCUCCCCCCCAGGCUCCUCCCCUGACCUGGACAGUGCCCCUUGGUGAAGGCGCUGUCUCAGAGCCGCGUGUCGCUGCUUGGGGGAGACGGGUGAGGCCCAGCAGCAAAGGUCCAGCCACAGCCAUGCUGUCUGCUCUAGAGGGACUGCCGUGUGUGGAAAUAAAACAAGGGGAACCGUGUGCAUUGGCGACGACACAAGUCAGUCACAGUGACCUGGGUCGUUGCUCAUCCCAGUCUCACAGUGUACCCAUAGGUCUUGCUGUCAUUUCUAUUACAUAAAUUGACUGCCCAAGGUCACAUUUCCAGGAAAAUUUGGAACUAGGAUUAGAAUCCAGUGACUCUAGAAUCCAAGCUCCAGCCAACCUUCUCAAACAGAAGUCUGUCCAGGAAAAGACAACCAGGGUUGGGAAAACACUCAAAAUUACGACGUGAGAGAAACAACGGAAGGGACUCUGACUCUCCUGACAGAGGAAAGUCUUGGGGUAAAAUGUGUUCCUCAGAGUUGAGAAUGACAAACAGACUUGAAACAACAGUAAUGAGUUAAAUAAAAUAAAAGAUAAAGUGUG